rnacentral:lncRNA from 1 species
AAAGCACCCAGGGGGUCCGGGGGGAAAAGGGAGGUGAGUGGGAGCAGGGUGGGUCCCGGGGCGUGCAGCGUCCUGCAGCAGCAGGGGUGUGGGUUUUGGUAACCCCGGCUAUGGCGAGAGCCGAGGGGUCCCCAGCGGAGCACGAAGCUGGGUGCCCGUGGCCGCGGGGGUGAAGGCAAGUGCCAGCUUUCACCGCCGUGCCGCUCGGUGAGGCACAGCUCACGGGGAGCUCACAAAGCAUGGGGAACCACGUUUAGGUCUGCGCCAUGAAAAGAUUACCCCCAUGGCCAGAAGCCAGGGCCCAGGGGGGAACGGCUCUAACACCUUGCUUUGCAGGAGGGAACGCAGCUGGAGCCCUUGGCGAGCACCUUUCCUGGGGUGCCGCAGAGACCGGGGCUGCAGUGCGGGGCCAGCACAGCGCUGGGCUCGUGUGGGAAAUCACAGCGCUGCCCUGAGCUGGGCACCGCGAAACAAGCUGCUAAUACUGCCACAGAUACAGGAUGACACUUCUUGCAGUUGCAGCUGAAGUCCUUUGCCUGCCGACUUUUUUUUUCCCUUUUUAUUGGGGAUUUUAUCACAUAAAGGAAGAACACACCCCAUCCUGAUUU